ACUCCUACGGGAGGCAGCAGUGGGGAAUAUUGCACAAUGGGCGCAAGCCUGAUGCAGCAACGCCGUGUGAGUGAAGAAGGUUUUCGGAUCGUAAACUCUGUCCUAAGGGAAGAAAAAAUGACGGUACCUUAGGAGGAAGCCCCGGCUAACUACGUGCCAGCAGCCGCGGUAAUACGUAGGGGGCAAGCGUUAUCCGGAAUCACUGGGCGUAAAGGGUGCGUAGGCGGCUUAGCAAGCCAGGGUGAAAGGCAUUGGCUCAACCAAUGUAAGCCUUUGGAACUGUUAAGCUUGAGUGCAGGAGAGGUAAGUGGAAUUCCUAGUGUAGAGGUGAAAUUCGUAGAUAUUAGGAGGAACACCAGUGGCGAAGGCGACUUACUGGACUGUAACUGACGCUGAUGCACGAAAGCGUGGGUAGCGAACAGGAUUAGAUACCCUGGUAGGUCAGUC
rnacentral:rRNA from 1 species